rnacentral:rRNA from 1 species
UACGUAGGGGGCAAGCGUUGUCCGGAUUUAUUGGGCGUAAAGAGCGUGUAGGCGGCUAGGUAGGUCCGUUGUGAAAACUCGAGGCUCAACCUCGAGACGUCGAUGGAAACCAUCUAGCUAGAGUCCGGAAGAGGAGAGUGGAAUUCCUGGUGUAGCGGUGAAAUGCGCAGAUAUCAGGAAGAACACCCGGUGGCGAAGGCGGCUCUCUGGUACGUGACUGACGCUGAGACGCGAAAGCGUGGGGAGCGAACAGG